rnacentral:rRNA from 1 species
GACGAACGCUGGCGGCGUGCCUAAUACAUGCAAGUAGAACGCUGAAGGAGGAGCUUGCUCUUCUGGAUGAGUUGCGAACGGGUGAGUAACGCGUAGGUAACCUGCCUGGUAGCGGGGGAUAACUAUUGGAAACGAUAGCUAAUACCGCAUAACAGUAGAUGUCGCAUGACAUUUGCUUAAAAGGUGCAAUUGCAUCACUACCAGAUGGACCUGCGUUGUAUUAGCUAGUUGGUGAGGUAACGGCUCACCAAGGCAACGAUACAUAGCCGACCUGAGAGGGUGAUCGACCACACUGGGACUGAGACACGGCCCAGACUCCUACGGGAGGCAGCAGUAGGGAAUCUUCGGCAUAUGGACGGAAGUCUGACCGAGCAACGCCGCGUGAUGUGAAGAAGGUUUUCGGAUCGUAUA